GACGAACGCUGGCGGCGUGCUUAACACAUGCAAGUCGAACGGAAAGGCCCUGCUUUUGUGGGGUGCUCGAGUGGCGAACGGGUGAGUAACACGUGAGUAACCUGCCCUUGACUUUGGGAUAACUUCAGGAAACUGGGGCUAAUACCGGAUCGGAGCUCCUGCUGCAUGGAGGGGGUUGGAAACUUUCGGCGGUUGGGGAUGGACUCGCGGCUUAUCAGCUUGUUGGUGGGGUAGUGGCUUACCAAGGCUUUGACGGGUAGCCGGCCUGAGAGGGUGACCGGCCACAUUGGGACUGAGAUACGGCCCAGACUCCUACGGGAGGCAGCAGUGGGGAAUAUUGCACAAUGGGCGGAAGCCUGAUGCAGCAACGCCGCGUGCGGGAUGACGGCCUUCGGGUUGUAAACCGCUUUCGCCUGUGACGAAGCGUGAGUGACGGUAAUGGGUAAAGAAGCACCGGCUAACUACGUG
rnacentral:rRNA from 1 species